rnacentral:rRNA from 1 species
GCGUUGUUCGGAGUUACUGGGCGUAAAGAGUGUGUAGGCUGUUCUCUAAGUUCGGUGUGAAAUCUCCCGGCUUAACUGGGAGGGUGCGCCGAAAACUGGAGGGCUUGAGUAUGGGAGAGGAAAGCGGAAUUCCUGGUGUAGCGGUGAAAUGCGUAGAUAUCAGGAGGAACACCUGCGGUGUAGACGGCUUUCUGGACCAUCACUGACGCUGAGACACGAAAGCGUG